UUAGGCCCAUUUCCCAUCUUCUUCUCCGGUGGUUCAUUCCCCACUGACACUGUAGCUCCUCCUCCUUCCGCUUUUACUUCCACCACCACUGUGUCAACUUUGAACCGCCCCACCAAUCAUUUGCUGCGCAAGUUUCCUAAUUGAACUCAAAAGACUAAAGCUUUCUCAAAUUCAACCACAGCCAUUGAGAUGGACUGCAAGUUGAUGCCAUGUAGCAAGAGGGUGACAAUGGAUAGAGUAGUAGACCAGGCCUCGCAAUACAGAGGGAGAGAGCGGAGAAGAUGAGAUUGAGUGAUCUGAGCAAUUAUUUUCAUCUGCCAAUUGAAGAUGCAGCAAAAACAAGUGAACUUAUGCCCCCACAGUGAUGAAGAAAAUUUGCUGUAAAGCAGGACUAGCACGAUGGCCUCACAGAAAGGAAAAGAAAUUGUGAAGAAGAAGAUGCAGUGAGUAAAUAUGAACCUGGGAUAUGGAUUUCCCUUCACCACUUUCUGCCCAUAUUUCCUCCAGCGAAAGCCAUCUCCUAUUAUUUCAGAAUCCAUUGAACUUUGCAUCACAAUGCGUGGCUCUGCUAAACCUUCCUCUGAUACUGCUGCUUCAUUGGAUUGAUUCUCAUUUUUCCUGAACCAUGAGAGACAUAUUUGAUCAUUACAACAAGGAUGGAGGAAGCAAAAAAACUCAAGGAGCAUGUCACUAACCACCUAUUCCCAAAACUUGCUAUUAGCUUAGGAGACAAUGAUUUAUAUUACAUCCUUAACACCCCCCACUAUACAAGAGUUCAUUGGACCAAAUAUGUGGACAAUGCACAAACUUAGCUGACUUUUGUUGAAAUGAUGAUGUACCUAACUAAUAACUUAUGCACAUAUAACAUGAUAUUGCCAGAAAUAUAAUGUCAAACUAUGUGAGAGUUAUCAACCAAUCGUUCAAGUUUUUCUGAUAGUUAGCUUGUCACAUUAUUUUAUAGUCUUUAUGUGGUCUAAAGUUUGAUCUUGUUUCCCUUAUGCUUAUGAUUUAAAAUUGAAAUUCAACCCAACGUGGUUGAGUUUGUGCAUUGUCUAUACUUCAAGCCCAAUAAGCUAUUGCGGGAGGGGCUGUGCACUAUGUUAAAAUUUUGGGAUAGUUUGUUGGAUGAAUUUCAUUUCCCUAGUUUGUUUCUCUCUUUGAGGGUGAGCCUCAGCAAAACGGUAAGGUUGCUCUCAUGUGACUUUGCGGUCACAUAUUCGAGUCGUGGAAUCAGCCUCUUGCAAAAAUGCAAGGUAAGACUGCCUACAUUAGAUCCAGUAAGUGGGUCUGGCCCUCUUCCUGGACCUCGCGCAUAGCAGGAGCUUUAUAGCACCGGGUUUGCGCUUUCUUUUAGUGUGUAGAACUCUUCCCUCCCCCUUUUUUAUUUUUCUAUAGUUUCAGCAAGAGUUCUUACCUUCUUUUACUUCUGGAUUCCUCUUCCUCUGCCUCAAAUCCCUUACUUGCUCCCUCGCAUUCCCCACUCAGACCACAAGAAUUUUCUGUGUUUCCUCCACCAGCAUUCAUCGCACCAAUCAGAACAGCAGAAUCAUUAUUAGCCUGUGGAGCUUUGACAUGAUAAGCUGAAUGCACAGACGCUAUUCCUGUGUCAUUCUGGUUCUCCAUUCUACCUUCAUUGUCUUCAUUCCUCUCACUCUCAGACACUGAACCUUGUGCCCCUCCUGCUGAGUUUCUCUUAGGAAGCUGUGGCUUUGCAUGGCUGUGUUCACCUUUAUAAACAAUUUCUGCAAUCUGACCAUCAAAUGAUCUUUCAACCUUCUUCUUCACUGGACAAUUAGGAUACGUGCACUUAUAAUAACUUCGCGGGAAUUCGCUUCCUUUAACUUGUUUCUGCCCAUAUUUUCUCCAGUUAUAACCAUCAUAAGAAGGUCGAUCACCAUUAGCAGUUGAUGUUAAAGCUUUUUGGUCUUCCUCCAGGUUCUGUUGUACUAUCUUACAAGGCUCAGUGGUUUGACAUGUUUCUGCAUAAGGAGUAAUGCUCUGAUGAAGAUUUGAGCUCGCUUUGGUUCUGAGUUUUUCAUGGUUGGAAUGUUGAAGAUUGGCCUCCAUUGGUUGGAGUGGUUGUUGCUGACUAGUACUGCAGUUUCCCUUCUCCAAAAAAAGAGAAAGAGACGUUCAGUGAAACUUCCGUGAGUAGUUCCGGAUGUCAGAAUUGAUUAUAAGAAAAGACAAUCUGGGCCAAACUUGCCAUUAGCUGUGGAAGGAUUUCCAAGCACCUACUUAAAAAACAAGUGAGAAUCAUAUGCUAGAAAGAAAGAGGUGUGUACUAUUCAUAUAUAUAACCUGGAUAGCAAAUACUGACC